UACAGAGGUCCCAAGCGUUGUUCGGAUUCACUGGGCGUAAAGGGUGCGUAGGUGGUGAGGGAAGUUGGGUGUGAAAGCUCGGGGCUUAACCCCGAAACGGCAUUCAAAACUCCUUUGCUAGAGGGUCGGAAGGGAGACUGGAAUUCUCGGUGUAGCGGUGAAAUGCGUAGAUAUCGAGAGGAACACCAGUGGCGAAAGCGAGUCUCUGGACGACUCCUGACACUGAGGCACGAAAGCUAGGGGAGCAAACAGG
rnacentral:rRNA from 1 species